AGAGUUUGAUCCUGGCUCAGGAUGAACGCUAGCGACAGGCUUAACACAUGCAAGUCGAGGGGCAGCACAGGUAGCAAUACCGGGUGGCGACCGGCGCACGGGUGAGUAACGCGUAUGCAACUUACCUAUCAGAGGGGGAUAACCCGGCGAAAGUCGGACUAAUACCGCAUGAAGCAGGGGCCCCGCAUGGGGAUAUUUGCUAAAGAUUCAUCGCUGAUAGAUAGGCAUGCGUUCCAUUAGGCAGUUGGCGGGGUAACGGCCCACCAAACCGACGAUGGAUAGGGGUUCUGAGAGGAAGGUCCCCCACAUUGGUACUGAGACACGGACCAAACUCCUACGGGAGGCAGCAGUGAGGAAUAUUGGUCAAUGGCCGAGAGGCUGAACCGGCCAAGUCGCGUGAGGGAUGAAGGUUCUAUGGAUCGUAAACCUCUUUUAUAAGGGAAUAAAGUGCGGGACGUGUCCCGUUUUGUAUGUACCUUAUGAAUAAGGAUCGGCUAACUCCGUGCCAGCAGCCGCGGUAAUACGGAGGAUCCGAGCGUUAUCCGGAUUUAUUGGGUUUAAAGGGUGCGUAGGCGGCCUUUUAAGUCAGCGGUGAAAGUCUGUGGCUCAACCAUAGAAUUGCCGUUGAAACUGGGGGGCUUGAGUAUGUUUGAGGCAGGCGGAAUGCGUGGUGUAGCGGUGAAAUGCAUAGAUAUCACGCAGAACCCCGAUUGCGAAGGCAGCCUGCCAAGCCAUGACUGACGCUGAUGCACGAAAGCGUGGGGAUCAAACAGGAUUAGAUACCCUGGUAGU
rnacentral:rRNA from 1 species